rnacentral:rRNA from 1 species
CCUACGGGAGGCAGCAGUGGGGAAUAUUGGACAAUGGGCGAAAGCCUGAUCCAGCAAUUCCGCGUGUGUGAAGAAGGCCUUCGGGUUGUAAAGCACUUUAGUGGGGGAAGAAACAGCUUGGCCACACCAAGCCUUGACGGUACCCCAAGAAUAAGCACCGGCUAACUCUGUGCCAGCAGCCGCGGUAAUACAGAGGGUGCAAGCGUUAAUCGGAUUUACUGGGCGUAAAGGGUGCGUAGGUGGCUAUUUAAGUCGGAUGUGAAAGCCCGGGGCUCAACCUCGGAAUUGCAUUCGAUACUGAGUGGCUAGAGUUCGGUAGAGGGCGGCGGAAUUUCCGGUGUAGCGGUGAAAUGCGUAGAUAUCGGAAGGAACAUCAAUGGCGAAGGCAGCCGCCUGGGCCUGGACUGACACUGAGGCACGAAAGCGUGGGUAGCAAACAGGAUUAGAUACCCUGGUAGUCCACGCCGUAAACGAUGAGAACUUGACGUUGGUUCGUUUUACGAAUCGGUGUCGNNGCACGCGAUAGUCUCCGCCGUGGAGACGCGCGAGUAGAACGUAAGAAGUAGAGNGNGAGAGNGCGACGACGACGACGAGGGAGAGG